CCUACGGGUGGCAGCAGUGGGGAAUUUUGGACAAUGGGCGCAAGCCUGAACCAGCUAUUCCGCGUGUGGGAAGACGGCCUUCGGGUUGUAAACCUCUUUUGUAGAGAACGAAAAGUCUAUUGAUAAUACCGAUAGACGAUGACGGUACUCUAAGAAUAAGCACCGGCUAACUACGUGCCAGCAGCCGCGGUAAUACGUAGGGUGCGAGCGUUGUCCGGAAUCAUUGGGCGUAAAGAGUUCGUAGGCGGUAUGUUAAGUCUGGUGUUAAAUGCAGAAGCUCAACUUCUGCUCGGCCCUGGAUACUGGCAAACUGGAAUGCGGUAGAGGUAAAGGGAAUUCCUGGUGUAGCGGUGAAAUGCUUAGAUAUCAGGAGGAACAUCGGUGGCGUAAGCGCUUUACUGGGCCGUAAUUGACGCUGAGGAACGAAAGCCAGGGUAGCAAAUGGGAUUAGAUACCCCGGUAGUC
rnacentral:rRNA from 1 species